GUUACUGCUUCCUGCUCCUCUUGCAACUAUUGGUUCAACUGAAGCUGCCAUUUAAUCUUCGAAUUAAUAUUUGGUACUAUCGAGCACCUAAAUUAAUAUUUGGUGCAACUAAAUACACCACAGCCAUUGACAUCUGUUCUAGGAGAAACUAAAAGAUAAGAAGGCAGAGUAUGAAGCGAUCGCUUGAUCGAUAGUUCUGUUAAUU